GUAGUCUCGCACAGAUGCAUAUCAAUAAGCGGAGGAAAAGAAACUAACAAGGAUUCCCCUAGUAACGGCGAGUGAAGCGGGAAGAGCUCAAAUUUGAAAUCUUAAAGGGUUUCCCUUUACGAAUUGUAGUUUAAAGAAGUGUUUUCUGUUGAGGUUUUGGUAAAAGUUCUUUGGAAUAGGACAUCAUAGAGGGUGAGAAUCCCGUAUUUGACCUUUAGCUCUCAACUUUGUGAUACACUUUCAAAGAGUCGGAUUGUUUGGGAAUGCAGUCCAAAAUGGGUGGUAAAUUUCAUCUAAAGCUAAAUAUUGGCGAGAGACCGAUAGCGAACAAGUACCGUGAGGGAAAGAUGAAAAGAACUUUGAAAAGAGAGUUAAACAGUACGUGAAAUUGUCAAAAGGGAAGCGUUUGACACCAGUGUUGUUUUUCUGAAAAUCAAUUAAAGAACUGUUUAUGCUAAGCUUGUUUAGACUUUAUCAGCUAUCUGUUUAGUUUUGAGCUUUUCUUUAAUGCACUUUUCAGUUAACAAGUCAACAUCAAUUUCUUUUGCUGUAAAAAAGCUUGAGGAAGGUGGCUUGAGAUUCGUCUUAAGUGUUUAUAGCCUCUUGCCUAUGCAGUCGGAGAGAUUGAGGUCUGCAGCGUAGAUCCUUCGGGGCUAAAUGCAUUUGUGCUAAGUUAUAGCAUUUAUAGACAACUUGUUGACUAUGAUUUGUCUUGUAGCUUACUCGCUUAUGUUAUUUUACCUACGCUUAGGAUGUUGACAGCAGUAUAGACUGU
rnacentral:rRNA from 1 species